GACGAACGCUGGCGGCGUGCCUAAUACAUGCAAGUCGAGCGGACUGAAUGGGAGCUUGCUCUUGUUCGGUCAGCGGCGGACGGGUGAGUAACACGUGGGCAACCUGCCCGCAAGACCGGGAUAACUCCGGGAAACCGGAGCUAAUACCGGAUAACACCGAAGACCGCAUGGUCUUUGGUUGAAAGGCGGCGCAAGCUGCCACUUGCGGAUGGGCCCGCGGCGCAUUAGCUAGUUGGUGAGGUAACGGCUCACCAAGGCGACGAUGCGUAGCCGGCCUGAGAGGGUGACUGGCCACACUGGGACUGAGACACGGCCCAGACUCCUACGGGAGGCAGCAGUAGGGAAUCUUCCGCAAUGGGCGAAAGCCUGACGGAGCGACGCCGCGUGAGCGAAGAAGGCCUUCGGGUCGUAAAGCUCUGUUGUGAGGGACGAAGGAGCGCCGUUUGAAGAAGGCGGCGCGGUGACGGUACCUCACGAGGAAGCCCCGGCUAACUACGUG
rnacentral:rRNA from 1 species